rnacentral:rRNA from 1 species
CCUACGGGAGGCAGCAGUGAGGAAUAUUGGUCAAUGGACGAGAGUCUGAACCAGCCAAGUAGCGUGAAGGAUGACUGCCCUAUGGGUUGUAAACUUCUUUUAUAUGGGAAUAAAACGUUCCACGUGUGGGAUUUUGUAUGUACCAUAGGAAUAAGGAUCGGCUAACUCCGCGCCAGCAGCCGCGGUAAUACGGAGGAUCCGAGCGUUAUCCGGAUUUAUUGGGUUUAAAGGGAGCGUAGGUGGAUUGUUAAGUCAGUUGUGAAAGUUUGCGGCUCAACCGUAAAAUUGCAGUUGAAACUGGCAGUCUUGAGUACAGUAGAGGUGGGCGGAAUUCGUGGUGUAGCGGUGAAAUGCUUAGAUAUCACGAAGAACUCCGAUUGCGAAGGCAGUUCACUGGACUGCAACUGACACUGAGGCUCGAAAGUGUGGGUAUCAAACAGGAUUAGAUACCCCUGUAGUC